ensembl:lncRNA
CCUUACCAACCAUCAGCUGAUUGGAGCAAAAGGGGAAUAAAAGGCUGUGGAAGCCAGGAUGAGCUGGGAGUUGAAGGCGUGCAACUUGCAGAGUGUGCAAGUGUCUGUGUUUGCUGAUUGUGCUGUGGUCAACGCCCACUCCAGGUGGCCAGAGGUCAUCUUAAUGGAGACAACCACUUCAGCGAAGACGAUCCAGGCACUGAGAGGCGAACUGCAGGGGGUCCAGGAGGGGGUCGGUGAGGGACUUCAGGUGGGUCAGGACUAGCCGUUCAAAAGACUUCAUGACUACAGAGGUCAGGGCGACGGGCCUGUAGAUAUAUGCACACACGCCACCACUACAGUCAUAUUUCCCAAAUUCAGCACCAGUUCAGCACUCAGUCCCACCCAACUCAUCAGCUGACAAUAGAACACAGAAUGCAGGGCCACUCAGCACCAUCAACACAUAUUUUGACACGCACCUGUCGAAGGCAUGGGGCAGUUUUCAUUUACUCAAGCCCUUUUCAAGGAAGCUUAGUGAAUUUACCUCUGAUGGUUGAUGGUCUUGAAAAACAUUUUGUGUGUUAUACAAUACUGGCAAGUGUCAAUUACUUGUAUUGUUGUAUUGCCUGUAUUUUUUG